AUUGAACGCUGGCGGCAUGCUUUACACAUGCAAGUCGAACGGUAACAGGCCUUCGGGUGCUGACGAGUGGCGAACGGGUGCGUAAUGCAUCGGAACGUACCCAGAGGUGGGGGAUAACGCAGCGAAAGCUGUGCUAAUACCGCAUGUGAUCUGAGGAUGAAAGCGGGGGACCGAGCAGCAAUGUUUGGCCUCGCGCCUUUGGAGCGGCCGAUGUCGGAUUAGCUAGUUGGUGGGGUAAAGGCCUACCAAGGCGACGAUCCGUAGCUGGUCUGAGAGGACGACCAGCCAAACUGGGACUGAGACACGGCCCAGACGCCUACGGGAGGCAGCAGUGGGGAAUUUUGGACAAUGGGCGCAAGCCUGAUCCAGCAAUGCCGCGUGCGGGAAGAAGGCCUUCGGGUUGUAAACCGCUUUUGGCAGGAACGAAACGGUGUCCGCUAAUACCGGGCGCUAAUGACGGUACCUGCAGAAUAAGCACCGGCUAACUACGUG
rnacentral:rRNA from 1 species